GAGCGGUAACAGGUGUAGCAAUACAUGCUGACGAGCGGCGAACGGGUGAGUAAUGCUUCGGAAUCUGCCCAAUGGUGGGGAAUAACCAGCCGAAAGGUUGGCUAAUACCGCAUGAGCCCUACGGGGGAAAGCAGGGGAUCGCAAGACCUUGCGCCGAUGGAUGAGCCGAAGCCGGAUUAGCUAGUUGGUAGGGUAACGGCCUACCAAGGCGACGAUCCGUAGCUGGUCUGAGAGGACGACCAGCCACACUGGGACUGAGACACGGCCCAGACUCCUACGGGAGGCAGCAGUGGGGAAUAUUGGACAAUGGGGGAAACCCUGAUCCAGCGACGCCGCGUGUGAAGAAGGCCUGCGGGUUGUAAAGCACUUUUAGUGGGGAUGAAAAGCUCAGGGCUAACACCUCUGGGUCUUGACCUAACCCACAGAANAAGCACCGGCUAACUCUGUG
rnacentral:rRNA from 1 species